rnacentral:rRNA from 1 species
GUUGUGAGAGCAAGAGCCCGGAGAUGGAUUCUGAGACACGAAUCCAGGCCCUACGGGGUGCAGCAGGCGCGAAAACUUUACAAUGCUGGCAACAGCGAUAAGGGAACCUCGAGUGCCAGGUUACAAAUCUGGCUGUCGAGAUGCCUAAAAAGCAUUUCAUAGCAAGGGCCGGGCAAGACCGGUGCCAGCCGCCGCGGUAACACCGGCGGCUCGAGUGGUAACCGUUAUUAUUGGGUCUAAAGGGUCUGUAGCCGGCCGGAUAAGUCUCUUGAGAAAUCUGGCAGCUUAACUGUCAGGCUUUCAGGAGAUACUGUCUGGCUCGAGGCCGGGAGAGGUGAGAGGUACUUCAGGGGUAGGGGUGAAAUCUUGUAAUCCUUGAAGGACCACCAGUGGCGAAGGCGUCUCACCAGAACGGACCUGACGGCAAGGGACGAAAGCUAGGGGCACGAACCGGAUUAGAUACCCGGGUAGUCCUAGCCGUAAACGAUACUCGCUAGGUGUCGGCCACGGUGCGACCGUUGUCGGUGCCGUAGGGAAGCCGUGAAGCGAGCCACCUGGGAAGUACGGCCGCAAGGCUGAAACUUAAAGGAAUUGGCGGGGGAGCACCACAACGGGUGGAGCUUGCGGUUUAAUUGGAUUCAACGCCGGG